ACAAGGGAGUGUGUAGCAGCAUGAUCCAAAUGUGCAAAACACUAGUCAGAAAUGCAAACAUCCGUCUCCCUCACUGCUGCAUGUGCUCCCUCCUGAACUGCAUGCCUGGUCAAAGUGGAUAGCCUCCCCUGCCAGAGGAGGACCGGUGUUGGUCAAGGGCUUACAAGUAGCUGUGCUCCCCUGCUCAAACCUCCAGACAAGCUCCCUAGAGCCAAGUUUCAUUCUCCUGCCUUUGAAUUUACAGUUUGGUCAGUG
rnacentral:snRNA from 1 species